AACGAACGCUGGCGGCAGGCUUAACACAUGCAAGUCGAACGCUCGUAGCAAUACGGGAGUGGCGGACGGGUGAGUAACGCGUGGGAGCCUACCUAUUGGUACGGAAUAGCUCAGGGAAACUUGAGGUAAUACCGUAUACGCCCUUACGGGGAAAGAUUUAUCGCCGAUAGAUGGGCCCGCGUCUGAUUAGCUAGUUGGUCAGGUAAUGGCUCACCAAGGCGACGAUCAGUAGCUGGUUUGAGAGAAUGACCAGCCACACUGGGACUGAGACACGGCCCAGACUCCUACGGGAGGCAGCAGUGGGGAAUCUUGGACAAUGGGCGCAAGCCUGAUCCAGCCAUGCCGCGUGAGUGACGAAGGCCUAGGGUUGUAAAGCUCUUUUGGCGGGACGAUAAUGACGGUACCGCAGAAUAAGCCCCGGCUAACUUCGUGCCAGCAGCCGC
rnacentral:rRNA from 1 species